GAUGAACGCUGGCGGCGUGCUUAACACAUGCCAGUCGAACGGUGAAGGCGGAGCUUGCUCUGCUGGAUCAGUGGCGAACGGGUGAGUAACACGUGAGCAAUCUGCCCCUGACUCUGGGAUAAGCGCUGGAAACGGCGUCUAAUACUGGAUACGAGCUGCGAAGGCAUCUUCAGCAGCUGGAAAGAACUUCGGUCAGGGAUGAGCUCGCGGCCUAUCAGCUUGUUGGUGAGGUAACGGCUCACCAAGGCGUCGACGGGUAGCCGGCCUGAGAGGGUGACCGGCCACACUGGGACUGAGACACGGCCCAGACUCCUACGGGAGGCAGCAGUGGGGAAUAUUGCACAAUGGGCGAAAGCCUGAUGCAGCAACGCCGCGUGAGGGACGACGGCCUUCGGGUUGUAAACCUCUUUUAGCAGGGAAGAAGCGAAAGUGACGGUACCUGCAGAAAAAGCGCCGGCUAACUACGUG
rnacentral:rRNA from 1 species